GUCCACGCCAUAAACGAUGAGAACUAGAUGUCGGGAGGGUUAGCCUCUCGGUGUCGCAGCUAACGCGUUAAGUUCUCCGCCUGGGGAGUACGGCCGCAAGGUUGAAACUCAAAGGAAUUGACGGGGACCCCGCACAAGCGGUGGAGCAUGUGGUUUAAUUCGAUGCAACGCGAAGAACCUUACCUGGUCUUGACAUCCUAGGAACCCCGCAGAGAUGUGGGGGUGCCUUCGGGAACCUGGAGACAGGUGCUGCAUGGCUGUCGU
rnacentral:rRNA from 1 species